UCCAUACCAUGGACGAAGCAUACGAGUGUUUGACCAUGUUUGAUUUUUGUGUAAUCCAAAUCUCUUGACCGUAUUUUGCUCCUUUAAAAAUCCUCUUAAAAAACCGGUUGUUUUUUUCAGAACAGUCCGCUCUCUUGGUCGGCCUCGACUCAUCUAAUCCUCAUCUUGAAAGUUUUUGAUCCAAACUUCCACAAUUCUUGGAAUCGUGAUCCAACUUGUCCGAGUCAUAUCUAACUCCACAGCAAGGAGUUCGGACCAAUUCCACUAUCUUGGAAUCAUGUCCAAUCUCACUAUCUUAGAGUGAAGACCAUCUCCCGUAAUCUUUGAGUUGGGUUCAAUCACGCUAUCUUGAAAUUGAAGCUAACUACCACGAUUUUGGAGUUGUGAAUUCUAGUUCAUCUCGCAUGCCAAGCCGUCCAUCGGGCCAAUUAAAAUGAAGAAAGAAAUGUAAUAAAAGAUGCGAGUGCAGGACUAAGCUAAGCAAAUGUUUUUGUUUGAGGAUCCAAUCGCACCGGUAUCGACGAACUCAAUUCUUAGUUUUCUCAUGAAA